AAAUUUGUUUACAAAACAUAUCAUAUCUUUCGGUGACAAAUGCAUUCGUCGGCAAAAUAGCUGCUCGCGCUUUACUGUAGAUAUCUACAAUCAGCGGUCGAAUUAAAAACAGUGCAGAAGGAUGUUUUGAGUAUGUUUUAGCUUCUAGCCGCGCAAUCAAUGCUUUUUUUCCAAGCAAGAUGUACUUCUGUUUGGAUCCUAUCGGCGGGGAAAAAAGUACUUACGGCGACGGUGACAAGAAAUAGCGCUGAUUGCGAGAUUACCAGAUCCAGAAGAUCCGGAAGGGCUGUUACAAGUAAUUGGUUUUGCUAGAGCAAAAGGAGGUUGACAAUGAUUGCAACAGGUGAAAUAAACUGUUGGAAUCACGACUAUCGAUCACGCCAGAAGAUCCGGAAAGAGUUGUUUUUGUUUUUCGUUAUGCGGACCUUGUUUCCGCAUCCUUUUACUGCACAAUAAUACGGCAUCUGAAGAAAAUAAGAUAUUCACAAUAUAAUUUUGGCGUGAUAGAGAACCGCGAGAUGAACGAUUAUCUGUGGAGGAGUUGGACAACAGAUUUCUUAGACUUAUAGCACUUUAAUCACACUCACAAGCUCUUCAAAUCCUCACUGUCCCCCAAAACUAUUGAAUAAUAUUUGUUUUCCUCAGCGAGUUGAUAUGAAACCAUAACGACACAACCAAACAAAAAGUAAACAAUGCAGAAAGCUACGUCUCGCAACUCGUCUCACGUAUUGUCAUGAAAGUGUCAAGAACGAAACACCU